rnacentral:rRNA from 1 species
AACAAGAGAGGUAAAAAUUUAUAGUUAGUUGAAAGUUAAUUGAAAUUUUAUUAUAAAUCUAAUUAGAUUAAAUUUUUAGGUGAAAUUUUAUUUUAUGAUGGUGUGGUUUUUAGAAUUAUGUAAUGAAGCUUAGAAAGUUAUAAUAAAAACUA